AACUAUAUGUUUUAAUAUAUAGCUGUUCUGCUCAAUGGUACAUCUAAAUAGCCGCAGUACUCUGACUGUGCAAAGGUAGCAUAAUCAGUUGGCUUUUAAUUGGAGUCUGGAAUGAACGAAAGCAUGGGUAGCAACUGUCUCAAUAUAAUAUUUUAUUGAAAUUGGUAUGCAAGUGCAAAAACUUGCUAUAAUAAAAAAGACGAGAAGACCCUAGAAACUUCUAAUAUUAUUUUGUUGGGGCGACAGAAUUACAUAUAACUAAUUUUAUAGUACAUGACGUUAUUCAGGAAGAUAAAGUUACUCUAGGGAUAACAGCAUAAUUUUUCAGUUUGUGACCUCGAUGUUGGACUAGGUAUAUAAUUUUUUAGAAGAAAAUUAAUAAAGCUCUGUUCGAGCAAUUAAAACCUACAU
rnacentral:rRNA from 1 species